rnacentral:ncRNA from 1 species
CCGAAAGAUGGUGAACUAUGCCUGAGCAGGAUGAAGCCAGAGGAAACUCUGGUGGAAGUCCGUAUCGGUUCUGACGUGCAAAUCGAUCGAUAGACUUGGGUAUAGGGGCGAAAGACUAAUCGAACCAUCUAGUAGCUGGUUCCUUCCGAAGUUUCCCUCAGGAUAGCUGGAACUCUUGCAGUUAUAUUCGGUAAAGCUAAUGAUUAGAGGCCUUGGGGACGUAAUGUCCUCAACCUAUUCUCAAACUUUCAAUGGAUAUGGCGUCGCAGUUUCUUUAGUGAACUGCGGCGUGAAUGCGAGUUCCAAGUGGGCCAUUUUUGGUAAGCAGAACUGGCGCUGUGGGAUGAACCAAACGUGCAGUUAAGGUGCCUAACUUCUCGCUUAUGAGACCCUAUAAAAGGUGUUGGUUGAUAUUGACAGCAGGACGGUGGCCAUGGAAGUCGGUACCCCGCUAAGGAGUGUGUAACAACUCACCUGCCGAAUCAACUAGCCCUGAAAAUGGAUGGCGCUUAAGCGAGAGACCUAUACUCCGCCGUCGCGGCAUGUGCGUUGUCUAGCGCCAGGCCGCGACGAGUAGGAAGGACGUGGCGGUUGCGUUGAAGGCUAUGAGCGUAGGCUCGGCUGGAGCUUCCGUCAGUGCAGAUCGUAAUGGUAGUAGCAAAUAUUCAAGUUCGAUCCUUGAAGACUGAAGUGGAGAAGGGUUCCACGUGAACAGUAGUUGGAUGUGGGUCAGUCGAUCCUAAGGUACUGGCGAAAGCCUUGUAUCAUCGGUGGCGAAAAGCUUGCUUUUUGUCCCCGCCCGUCGAAAGGGAAUAGGGUUAAUAUUCCCUAACUGAGAUGCAAAGAUUGUGUUCUUCGGAGCACAAGCGCGGUAACGCGUUCGAACUUGGUAAGUCGCUCAGAGACCGAGCUAGAGUUUUCUUCUCUAGUUAAGGAACGGACUCCCUGGAAUUGGUUCAGCCAGAGAUGGGGACGUUGUUUCCGAAAAGCACCGCGGUUUCUGUGGUGUCUCGUGCUCUCUGAACGGCCCUUUAAACACCAAGGGAGGCUAUUAAUUUGCACUCAAUCGUACCGAUAUCCGCA